rnacentral:tRNA from 1 species
CAGUGAGUAAUUUAUAUAAAAUGACAAUUUUGGAGAUUGUUAAAAAGAUUUAUUUUCUUCUCGCUGA